CACGUAGGGGGCAAGCGUUGUCCGGAUUCAUUGGGCGUAAAGAGCUCGUAGGCGGUUCGAUAAGUCGGGUGUGAAACCUCCAGGCUCAACCUGGAGACGCCACCCGAUACUGUCGUGACUAGAGUCCAGUAGGGGAGCGUGGAAUUCCUGGUGUAGCGGUGAAAUGCGCAGAUAUCAGGAGGAACACCGGUGGCGAAGGCGGGUCUCUGGGCCGAUACUGACGCUGAGACGCGAAAGCGUGGGGAGCGAACAGG
rnacentral:rRNA from 1 species